UACAGAGGUGGCAAGCGUUGUUCGGAAUUACUGGGCGUAAAGGGCGCGUAGGCGGCCUUCUAAGUCAGACGUGAAAUCCCUCAGCUUAACUGGGGAACUGCGUCUGAUACUGGAUGGCUUGAGUGUGGGAGAGGAAUGCGGAAUUCCAGGUGUAGCGGUGAAAUGCGUAGAUAUCUGGAGGAACACCGGUGGCGAAGGCGGCAUUCUGGACCAUAACUGACACUGAGAGACGAAAGCCAGGGGAGCAAACGGG
rnacentral:rRNA from 1 species